CCAACAUGGUUUCCUUCAUAAAAAGUAGGACAAAGCUGAGUAUAUGCAGCUGUGUUUUAGUUCAUAAGAAUCAACAGGGAAUCAACAAAGAUGACAAAGUCUGACUUUGAGCCAGGACUUGAAGCAGACAUACUGGGCUCUUGCGAAAAAGCUUGUUCCCACAAGAUUGCCAGCCAAAUUUUGCAGACUCAAGAUGUUUGGAGAGUUUGAAUAAUCAUCACAAUUUUUGGACGUCUAUCUGAGGGCAAAGGGAAUCCAUUUGGGCUAAAGAAGGGCUGAUGUGAGGCAUCAGAAGUCAGGGGUCUUCUAUGAAAGUCCUGCGCAGGAGAGAGUCAUAUGUCUGAGCAUGUAAUUAUUCCUACAUAGAACCUGAGGACCACAGCAAGUUGAUGGAAUAAAAUAUUAUUAAAUUGUAUACCAUCUGUGCUGGUGGGAAA